AUACACCUGGGAAGGUCCGAGGUGCCUACAUCCGAAAUGGAAAAAGACGAGAGUCUUGGGGUGCUCAAUAGAAAGCUACCCUUGCAGUUCUGGCCGAUGACAAGAGGUGAGGCUGUGAGUGGCUGGAAGAGUGCCUGGCAUGCUACUUAGUUCAAUACGCAAAAUUUAAUACAACUCAAUUCGGACUACUCUGU
rnacentral:ribozyme from 1 species